CGGGGUGUAGCUCAGCUCGGUUUAGAGUGCACGUCUGGGGGGCGUGAGGUCGGAGGUUCGAAUCCUCUCACCCCGA
rnacentral:tRNA from 1 species